AUUCAAUCCAUAACACUGGGUACAACCAACUAAUCCAAAGAAGAUUUGAAGAAAUGUAACCGAUUUCAGAGGACACGGUUAGAGUUUAUUGGCACAAAUGAACCAAACUAGGUGGGGUGGAAGAGAAAAACUGAAAGCUACUGCCUUGCAUCAGAUGAAGUCCAGGGUGCAUCAAUGACCUGACUCGACACACAGCUUAACAGAGCUUCAGUGAGGACCAAGGACUUCGAGGGCAGGAGUCCCUAACUUCUCCUUCUAAACUCAUAGGGAAUGCACACAUCCAAUACAAAGGUAUGGUCAUCA